GUGCCAGCCGCCGCGGUAAUACGUAUGGUGCAAGCGUUGCUCGGAAUCACUGGGCGUAAAGGGUGCGUAGGCGGGUAUGCGUGUCCGUUGUGAAAUACCGCAGCUUAACUGCGGUGCUGCGACGGAAACUGCAUAUCUGGAGUCCCGGAGAGGCAGACGGAAUUCCCGGUGUAGCGGUGAAAUGCGCAGAUAUCGGGAGGAACACCGAUGGCGAAGGCAGUCUGCUGGACGGAGACUGACGCUGAGGCACGAAAGCGUGGGGAGCAAACAGGAUUAGAUACCCUGGUAGUCCACGCUGUAAACGAUGGGCACUAGGUGUUGGUCCCGGUUCGGCCGGGGUCGGUGCCGCAGCUAACGCAUUAAGUGCCCCGCCUGGGGAGUACGCUCGCAAGGGUGAAACUCAAAUGAAUUGACGGGG
rnacentral:rRNA from 1 species